rnacentral:lncRNA from 1 species
AAUGACCAGAUAACUGGAUAUAUAUUUGAUAAGUAAAUGCUUGAACAAAUAUCUGAAUAAAGAUUUAAUGCAAUGAUUAUAACCUCAGAUAGUUGAUCAGAUAACUGGAUGAGGGAUCUGCGUAAAGUAGUCAACCUCUGUAUUCGACCAGAUAACUGGAAGAGGGAUCCUUUUCAAUUAAGUGUUGUUUAGUUGUUUUUAGAUGAAAGAUAAAAACUAAAGUUAACAAAGAACAACACAAGAGAAUUUAUACUGGUUCACCCAAACAAGGGCUAAUCCAGUCCCGACCAACUGUCGGAAUUCACUAGCCUAAAGAUAAUGGCAAAACCUUAGAGUAUCAAGGAAACUCUUAAAAACCUCUCUAUGCUUUAAGGCUAACUUCGCUUAGGAACCAGUCUUUUACGGGUAGACUCAUCCCUUAGAGUAUCAAGGGCACUCUUAAGAACCUCUCUAAGCUUUAAGGCUAACUUUGCUUAGGAACCAGUCUUUUACGGGUAGACUCACACCUUAGAGUGUCAAGGGCACUCUUAAAAACCUCUCUAAGCUUUAAGGCUAACUUCGCUUAGGAACCCGUCU